UUUUGGAAUUAGGAGUUGGAAUAGGAGCUUGCUCUGUGCACUCCACGCAUCGAUCUGGUAUUGCAAUACCUCCAGGAAUGGUGC
rnacentral:snRNA from 1 species